GACGAGGGUGGCGCAAGUGGUUAAGGCGAUGGACUGCUAAUCCAUUGUGCUCUGACGCAUGGGUUCAAAUCCCAUCCUCGUCG
rnacentral:tRNA from 1 species